rnacentral:rRNA from 1 species
GAUGAACGCUGGCGGCGUGCCUAAUACAUGCAAGUCGAACGAGGUGCUUUUGUAGCAAUACGAGAGUAUCCUAGUGGCGAACGGGUGAGUAACGCGUUGGUGACCUACCCCAAAGUGUGGGGUAACAGUCCGAAAGGAUUGCUAAUACCGCAUGUGGUCAUUGGAUUUAGAAACUGAUGACUAAAGGAGCAAUUCGCUUUGGGAGGGACCUGCGUCCCAUCAGCUAGUUGGUGAGGUAAUGGCUCACCAAGGCGACGACGGGUAGGGGACCUGAGAGGGUGACCCCCCACAAUGGAACUGAAACACGGUCCAUACACCUACGGGUGGCAGCAGUAGGGAAUAUUGCUCAAUGGGCGAAAGCCUGAAGCAGCGACGCCGCGUGUGUGAUGAAGGCCUUCGGGUCGUAAAGCACUUUUCUGGGAGAUGAGAAAGGACAGUAUCCCAGGAAUAAGUCUCGGCUAACUACGUGCCAGCCGCCGCCGUAACAC